GUGAGCUGGGCACAGCUCAGGCUGAGCAGGCUGACCAGGGUUCCUGUCCAAAAGGAGGACUCAGGAAUCAAGGCAGCUGAAGAUUGCGGUGCUGUAAGGGAUGUCAAGGACAAAACCUGUA